AAGAGAGUGAAGUGAGGAGUUUCCUGCAGUGUCUGCCUUAUAUCUCACAGCUCAGUGUUGAGUUUUGGGAUCGAGGUGAAGCAGUCAGGUUCUUUGUGAAUCUGUUCUGUGCAGCAGCAGAGAGAGAACAGCAGACAGGAGAGAAGAUACUGGAGCUGUUAUCAUCAGUGUGCAGAU